AAGUUUUACAAAGCCUUGUAGCUUUAUAUAAGCUAGUGAAGCUAAUUUGAAAUCUUCAGAAAUAAUCUGACUAAAGAAAUCCCCCCAAUGGCCUCGUUUUCGUGUUUGCUAGUUUUGGCAUGACAGGCGCACAUGAAGGUUAUAUUCCCAUGUUUCCUUCACGAUUUGGUUCCUCGUUGAUCUUAAGCCCGAUAUAUAACAAGUAAGUUCUUAACCCUAUUGUACACGAAACACAAGUAAAUCAGUACCUGAUACGAAAACGAGGACAUUGGGUCAAACGUCGAUAAACGGUAAGGUCAAU